UGCAAUUUCAAUAAUGACAACAGAUUUGAAAUAUCAAGGAUAUUUAACUUUGUAUUGGGUCCAGAGUGAAAAAGUAGGGAAAGUAGCAACUCCACUACAUCCCCACACUCUUCCCCAUACUCCAACUCUUAUCCCAGUAAUUACAUAAUAUUCUCUCUAUGAGAGACAACACAAAAAUAAAAGUUCUUCAUGAAAUAUGCAAAAAUAAAAUGCAAUAUAAAAAUAUAAAUUAUAUAAAAAUAGAAAUCAGUUUCAGACUUGCAUGUACAUGUAAAUAAACCAAUGAAAAGGCUAUAUUUACAUGCAACAAAAACUGAAGGAUUAAAUCUCAUUAUGUGCACAGUGACAUCCAAAGAGUGGGGUAUCAGGAGAAGAGGUCCAUAAGGAGGCAGCAGUGAUACGUAUAACAUAAAGCAACAAUCCCCUUCUGUGUCAUGUGACACAUCAUGAUGAUUUUGCAGCUGUACUGAGAGCCAGAGGAUAUACAAUCAAAAGGCAGGCGGAGUCACUGAUAUUUGAUCAUUUAAGAUAACAUACAAUAAGUUAAAAAUAUGAGUACAGCCUGGAAAGACUAGAGAACACUGGACAAGAUGGCUAAAAUUAUUAUCUUAAGUAUAAUUCUCAUGAGUCAUAAAGUUAUCUUUUCACUCAACAUCCAGCAAUCACCAAAACAUCUACUAUUGACGCCUGAGCAGAAUGAAGCGAAGCUCAACUGCCGGCAUGGUGAUACCAACUAUCUCUACAUGUACUGGUAUCAACAAAAGGCAGUUGGUGGCUUAGUUGAGCUCAUUGGAAUGCUUCAGUAUGGAAGAUCCACUCCUGAGGAGAAGUUUAAAGCACGAUUCAACAUUUCAGGACAGUCCACAGGGGAUGCAUUUCUGCUCAUAUCCAGUAUAACUCCUGAGGACAGUGCAGUAUAUUUCUGUGCUGCUAGUAAGCACAGCCACACGCUUUCCCUCUCUGUUUAACAAAAAGCUUCACACCAAACACCUGCAAAUAAGAUCUGUUCUGUGAUUAGUACUGUCUGUAGUAGGACGAAAUAUAGGAAGUGUACAGUAGAGGUCACUGCUAAAACUGGUAGCAUGUUGAAGAUGUGAAGACCAUCUCCCCACACGAUCCCGCAUGAUCUUUACUUAUGAGAAUUCACAUUUCAAACUUCAUUCAUAUGAAAAUCAAUCAAGUAAUACUCACUCAUAAGAUUACUGCUUCUGAGGAAUAUUAUGCUUCUGUUGUCAAUGCUCCUGUAAAAUAGAGUUUUAUAGUAUGUAUU